rnacentral:rRNA from 1 species
CCUACGGGAGGCAGCAGUAAGGAAUAUUGGUCAAUGGAGGCAACUCUGAACCAGCCAUGCCGCGUGCAGGAAGAAGGCCCUAUGGGUCGUAAACUGCUUUUGUACCAGAGAAAACCACAGUACGUGUACUGUGUUGAUAGUAUGGUAAGAAUAAGCAUCGGCUAACUUCGUGCCAGCAGCCGCGGUAAGACGAAGGAUGCAAGCGUUAUCCGGAUUCAUUGGGUUUAAAGGGUGCGUAGGCGGACUGAUAAGUCAGUGGUGAAAUCUCUCAGCUUAACUGAGAAACUGCCAUUGAUACUGUUAGUCUAGAGUAUAGAUGACGUUGGCGGAAUAUGACAUGUAGUGGUGAAAUACUUAGAUAUGUCAUAGAACACCGAUUGCGAAGGCAGCUAACGAAACUAUAACUGACGCUGAGGCACGAAAGUGCGGGGAUCAAACAGGAUUAGAUACCCUGGUAGUCCGCACCGUAAACGAUGAUUACUCGUUGUUGGCAAUAUGACCGUCAGCGACCAAGCGAAAGCGANAAGUAAUCCACCUGGGGAGUACGCCGGCGAACGGUGAAACUUAAAGGAAUUGACGG